CAAACAUCGCAAUCAAUCAACCCAAACAUGGCAAUCAAUCUACCCAAACAUCACAAUCAAUCUACCCAAACAUCGCAAUCAAUCUACCCAAACAUCGCAAUCAAUCUACCCAAACAUCGCAAUCAAUCAACCCAAACAUCGCAAUCAAUCAACCCAAACAUCGCAAUCAAUGUACCCAAACAUCACAAUCAAUGUACCCAAACAUCGCAAUCAAUCAACCCAAACAUCGCAAUCAAUGUACCCAAACAUCACAAUCAAUGUACCCAAACAUCACAAUCAAUCUACCCAAACAUCACAAUCAAUCUACCCAAACAUCACAAUCAAUCUACCCAAACAUCACAAUCAAUCUACCCAAACAUCGCAAUCAAUCUACCCAAACAUCGCAAUCAAUCUACCCAAACAUCGCAAUCAAUCUACCCAAACAUCGCAAUCAAUCUACCCAAACAUCACAAUCAAUCAACCCAAACAUGGCAAUCAAUCAACCCAAACAUGGCAAUCAAUCUACCCAAACAUCACAAUCAAUGUACCCAAACAUCACAAUCAAUCUACCCAAACAUCACAAUCAAUGUACCCAAACAUCACAAUCAAUGUACCCAAACAUCACAAUCAAUCUACCCAAACAUCACAAUCAAUGUACCCAAACAUCACAAUCAAUGUACCCAAACAUCCCAAUCAAUGUACCCAAACAUCCCAAUCAAUGUACCCAAACAUCGCAAUCAAUCUACCCAAACAUCCCAAUCAAUGUACCCAAACAUCGCAAUCAAUCUACCCAAACAUCACAAUCAAUCUACCCAAACAUCACAAUCAAUCUACCCAAACAUCACAAUCAAUGUACCCAAACAUCACAAUCAAUGUACCCAAACAUCGCAAUCAAUCAACCCAAACAUCGCAAUCAAUGUACCCAAACAUCACAAUCAAUGUACCCAAACAUCAUAAUCAAUGUACCCAAACAUCGCAAUCAAUCAACCCAAACAUCGCAAUCAAUCUACCCAAACAUCCCAAUCAAUAUACCCAAACAUCGCAAUCAUUGUACCCAAACAUCGCAAUCAAUCAACCCAAACAUCGCAAUCAAUGUACCCAAACAUCGCAAUCAAUCUACCCAAACAUCACAAUCAAUGUACCCAAACACCACAAUCAAUCAACCCAAACAUGGCAAUCAAUCAACCCAAACAUCACAAUCAAUCUACCCAAACAUCACAAUCAAUGUACCCAAACAUCACAAUCAAUGUACCCAAACAUCGCAAUCAAUCAACCCAAACAUUGCAAUCAAUCUACCCAAACAUUGCAAUCAUUCUACCCAAACAUCACAAUCAAUCAACCCAAACAUCACAAUCAAUCAACCCAAACAUCACAAUCAAUGUACCCAAACAUCACAAUCAAUCAACCCAAACAUCUUCAUAACCAGUAUCGCAACGAUGGAGGAGACCCUUGUUUGCUUCUCUCAAUUUAGGUUUCAUUGUAGUAGAUGAUAUGAACUUUGA
rnacentral:lncRNA from 1 species